UAAACAUCGACAGUAAACUACGCCCACUGUCCGCCUGGGAACUACGAGCGCUAGCUUAAAACCCAAAGGACUUGGCGGUGCUUUAGACCCACCUAGAGGAGCCUGUCCUAGAACCGAUAAUCCCCGUUCAACCUCACCCUUCCUUGUUUUAUCCGCCUAUAUACCGCCGUCGUCAGCUUACCCUGUGAAGGCUCAAAAGUAAGCGAAAUCGGUACAGCCCCAAACGUCAGGUCGAGGUGUAGCGUAUGGAAGGGGAAGAGAUGGGCUACAUUCACUGACACAGUGAAAUACGAAUGAUUGCUCUGAAACGAGAAUCUGAAGGAGGAUUUAGCAGUAAGCAAAAAGUAGAGUGUUUUGCUGAAGUUGGC
rnacentral:rRNA from 2 species